AUUGAACGCUGGCGGCAGGCUUAACACAUGCAAGUCGAACGAGUGGCGGACGGGUGAGUAAUGCUUGGGAAUCUAGCUUAUGGAGGGGGAUAACUACGGGAAACUGUAGCUAAUACCGCGUACCAUAGGAUGAGCCCAAGGGAGAUUAGGUAGUUGGUGAGGUAAAGGCUCACCAAGCCGACGAUCUCUAGCUGGUCUGAGAGGAUGACCAGCCACACUGGGACGGAGACAGGGCCCAGACGCCUACGGGAGGGAGCAGUGGGGAAUAUGGCUCAAGGGGGGAAACCUGACGCAGCCAUGCUGCGGGAAGGAAGAAGGCCUUCGGGUUGGAAAGUACUUUCGGUGGCGAAGCGUUAAAUACAGAGGAAGCAUCGGCUAACUCCGUGCCAGCAGCCGCGGUAAUAC
rnacentral:rRNA from 1 species